UCACAGCUCUUAAUUUUAGGAAGAAUGAGUAAAUGAAUGAAUAACCCGGGCGAAUCAAAAGGUACGUCGCUGGUAUGCAAUCCGUUUGACGUGCUGUCUACUUAACUGUGUCGGGUUAUUGACGGAUGUAAAAUUUUUAGACGGUUGGUUUAGAUUUGUGCUUAAAAUUGACGUGUGAUCCAUAAAUUUUAUGCUUGUCGAUUACCCGU